UGGGGAAUAUUGCACAAUGGGCGCAAGCCUGAUGCAGCCAUGCCGCGUGUGUGAAGAAGGCCUUCGGGUUGUAAAGCACUUUCAGCGGGGAGGAAGGCGAUAAGGUUAAUAACCUUGUCGAUUGACGUUACCCGCAGAAGAAGCACCGGCUAACUCCGUGCCAGCAGCCGCGGUAAUACGGAGGUUGCAAGCGUUAAUCGGAAUUACUGGGCGUAAAGCGCACGCAGGCGGUCUGUCAAGUCGGAUGUGAAAUCCCCGGGCUAAACCUAGGAACUGCAUUCGAAACUGGCAGGCUAGAGUCUUGUAGAGGGGGGUAGAAUUCCAGGUGUAGCGGUGAAAUGCGUAGAGAUCUGGAGGAAUACCGGUGGCGAAGGCGGCCCCCUGGACAAAGACUGACGCUCAGGUGCGAAAGCGUGGGGAGCAAACAGG
rnacentral:rRNA from 1 species